rnacentral:misc_RNA from 1 species
CAGAGUUCAUGCCCCUAUGGGUAGAUCUCCCCACCCUUUGUUAUUAUUACCUUUGUUGCUUUGGCGGGCCGUCCGGCCCUCGGUCAGGCUAUCGGCUCCGGCUGGUAAGCGCCCGCCAGAGGACCCUAAACUCUGAAUAUUAGUGUUGUCUGAGUACUAUAUAAUAGUUA